GGGCAUAUAGCUCAGUGGAUUAGAGCGUGUGGCUACGAACCAUAAGGCCGGGGGUUCAACUCCCUCUAUGCUCA
rnacentral:tRNA from 1 species